CGACGAGUUUGAUCAUGGCUCAGAUUGAACGCUGGCGGCAUGGUUAAAGCAUGCAAGUCGAACGCGAACCACCUUCGGGUGGGGAAAGUGGCGAAAGGGCGAGGAAUACGAUCGAAUGUGCCCCGAGGUGGGGGAUAGCGUCGAGAAAUCGGCGGUAAUACCCCAUGUGCUCUACGGAGGAAAGGUUUACCGCCUUGGGAGCAGCGAUCGUCCUAUCAGGUAGUUGGUGGGGUAAUGGCCUACCAAGCCGAAGACGGGUAGCGGGUGUGAGAGCAUGACCCGCCGCAUCGGAACUGAGACACUGUCCGGACUCCUACGGGAGGCUGCAGCGACGAAUAUUCCGCAAUGGGCGAAAGCCUGACGGAGCAAUGCCGCGUGUGGGAUGAAGCGCCUUCGGCGUGUAAACCACUGUCAGGUCCUAGGAACACUGACCAGGACCAGAGGAAGGGCCGGCUAACCUCGUG
rnacentral:rRNA from 1 species